rnacentral:tRNA from 1 species
CGGAAGCGUGGCAGAGCGGCCGAAUGCACUCGCCUUGAAAGCGAGCGUGGCGUUAAACCCACCGGGGGUUCAAAUCCCUCCGCUUCCGCCAA